rnacentral:sRNA from 1 species
UCCUGCCUGCCCAGCUGUGAAUCUGUGUGUUUCUCUCUCCCCAUUCCCUAUCCCCAGUUCUCACAGCUGGUGAACGGGGAUGUGGCUUUGCUGGGCGGGGGCCCCUACAUGCUCUGCACUGAUGGGCAGCAGCUAUUGCGACAGGUCCUGCACCCCGAGGCCUCCAGGAAGAACCUGGUGCUCCCCGACAUGUUCUUCUCCUUCUAUGACCUCCGAAGAGAAUUCCAUAUGCAGCAUCCAAGCACCUGCCCUGCCAGGGACCUCACUGUGGCCACCAUGGCACAGGGUAUCUGUGACCCAGCAGGGUUAGGGUGGAGAAGCCACUGUGGGUACAUGUGUCUGAGUAUGUGCAUGCUGUGGGUGGGUAAUAUGGACACAUACAAGACUGCGUUAUCUGCUAAGUCCCUGAGUGUACUGUGUCUUCGUGUCUGUGCUAGGAUGAGUUUGGAAUGUGGGUAUGUGUCUGUCUAUGUCUGGACUGGGAAUCUGUAUGUGCACACAUGAACUGGGCCAAAACAAAUGUGUAUGCUGGUCUCCAGCAUGUGUCUAUGGAGGGGAGUUGGGCCCAGGAGUAAACAGGAUUAGUGCUUAUGCUAAGAUGUCUUCACUGUCACUUCUCUGCCCAUAGAUUUAGGACUGGAGACAGAUGCCACAGAGGAUGACUUUGGGGUCUGGGAAGUCAAGACAAUGGUAGCUGUUAUCCUCCAUCUACUCAA